UGAAGACAAUGGGUAAGAGUAUCUAAACUAAUUAUAAUUUUUUUAAGCUGCUGCUAUAGGCAGUGUUAAAAAUAAAAAAGCAGAUCCUCUAUAAAUCUGAGCACUGAAAAUAUCUUGAAAUCGGGAUAGAGGUGCAAAUAAUGGAAAAGAUAAAGUUACAGAUGAAGAUAGCGAUAGAGUAAAUACAUUAAAAAAAAUUAAAAAAAAAGUAUAGAUAGUCACUAAAACAGACUUGUGCUACAUUAAUUUCAGUCUCUUCAGAUGAUUAUUUUGAUAUAAAUAAUGAUAUAGUCUCUGGUAGAAAAUAACCCAAUCAAAAUUACUUGGUUACUAAUUAUUGGGCAACCCCGUAAGCCAACGAUUAUCCUCAAUAUAAGCCAAUCGUUAACAAAAGAAACUUUUUAAAAUUUUGAGAAAAUGAGCAACUGCAAAAGUGACUUCAUUCUAAUUUUUUUUUUAAUCGAACAUGACGUCCAAAAUUGGAGGUAGUUUACCGGCUGCACUGGUGCUCAAUUGGGGUUUUUAUUAGAACAUUUCUUUAAGAUAUUAUACAGUGUUAUCUAAUGCCAAAACCUUACAAUUCAUAGUAUUAAAUAUUAGAAUGGUAAUAUAAAUUGUUUAGAGUAUAAAAUACUCUCAAAACUUGUAAGAGAGAGGAACACUGCGCACCUAUAUAAAUAUACUGAUAGUAUGGGAUGAAAACUUUGAAUUGUUGUAUCUUAAAAAAAGGCCUCGUUUGCCCUAUCCAACUUUUUCUCCGUGAUUUGUAUUGCUAUUUUAUACCAUAAUAAGCUAGUUCUUUUUAAAUGUUCUAAGAAAACUCACUUCGCAAUUUAACUAAACGUCCUCAUAAUUCGG